UGAGGGUGUUUAGCAAAGGUCUUAUCUCCCC
rnacentral:piRNA from 1 species